GACGAACGCUGGCGGCGUGCCUAACACAUGCAAGUCGAGCGGAGAAACAAAAGAGCAGCUUGCUGCGAUUUGUUUCUUAGCGGCGGACGGGUGAGUAACGCGUGGGUAAUCUGCCUCAAACAGGGGGAUAACACAGGGAAACUUGUGCUAAUACCGCAUAAGACCCCACCAUGGCAUCAUGGAGAGGUCAAAGGAAGAAAUUCCGGUUUGAGAUGAGCCCGCGUCUGAUUAGCUAGUUGGUGAGGUAACGGCUCACCAAGGCGACGAUCAGUAGCCGAACUGAGAGGUUGAUCGGCCACAUUGGGACUGAGACACGGCCCAGACUCCUACGGGAGGCAGCAGUGGGGAAUAUUGCACAAUGGGGAAACCCUGAUGCAGCGACGCCGCGUGAAGGAAGAAGGCCCUCGGGUUGUAAACUUCUUUGACCAGGGACGAAGAAAGUGACGGUACCUGGAGAACAAGCCACGGCUAACUACGUGCCAGCAGCCGCGGUAAAAGUACUA
rnacentral:rRNA from 1 species